rnacentral:lncRNA from 1 species
GACAGAGUUCUCUUUAAUUAAAGGAAGCUAAUGAGCACACUGUUUGAUGUUUUCUGCUUGCAGGGAGAGAAAGGGGACAUGGGAAAUGUUGGAAAAAUCGGACCACAAGGUCCAGUAGGCCCGAUUGGCAUAGCUGGGGUAAUAGGUGUUCCUGGUGAAAAGGGUGACCGAGGACCAGCAGGUCCCACAGGUCCAGCUGGAGAGAAAGGGCCAAGGGUAAGUACAGUUACUCAGAAUACACAGCAGAGCUCUGCUUCUUUUCUGACAGUUUGUAAAUGCCAGAGCUGUACUGUAUAA